AUUGAACGCUGGCGGCAGGCCUAACACAUGCAAGUCGAACGAGUGGCGGACGGGUGAGUAAUGUCUGGGAAACUGCCCGAUGGAGGGGGAUAACUACUGGAAACGGUAGCUAAUACCGCAUACCAUCGGAUGUGCCCAGAUGGGAUUAGCUAGUAGGUGGGGUAAAGGCUCACCUAGGCGACGAUCCCUAGAUGGUCUGAGAGGAUGACCAGCCACACUGGAACUGAGACACGGUCCAGACUCCUACGGGAGGAAGGAGUGGGGAAUAUUGCACAAUGGGCGCAAGCCUGAUACAGCCAUGCCGCGUGUAUGAAGAAGGCCUUAGGGUUGUAAAGUACUUUCAGCGAGGAGGCGUUACUCGCAGAAGAAGCACCGGCUAACUCCGUGCCAGCCGACGCGGUAAUAC
rnacentral:rRNA from 1 species